CUGUCCGAGCGUCAUUGCAAACCCUCAAGCAUGGCUUGUGUGAUGGGUCCUGGCGUCCACCCCCCUAAGCGUAGGGGGUGGACGGGCCCGAAAGGCAGUGGCAGCGUCGCGGUGAUCCGCUAAGCCAGAGCGUAUGGGGACGCUACAGUCACACGCUCGCGGCGCGGACCGGCGCUGGCCGACCCCCCUAACCAUUCUACGGUUUGACCUCGGAUCAGGUAGGGAUACCCGCUGAACUUAAGC
rnacentral:misc_RNA from 1 species